rnacentral:rRNA from 1 species
UGCCAGCCGCCGCGGUAAUACGGAGGGUCCGAGCGUUAAUCGGAAUUACUGGGCGUAAGGCGUACGCAGGCGGCCUUAUAAGCCAGAUGUGAAAUCCUACAGCUCAACUGUAGAACUGCCUUUGAUACUGAAAAACUUGAGUUAUUGUGAAGUGGUUAGAAUGUGUGGUGUAGCGGUGAAAUGCAUAGAUAUCACACAGAAUACCGAUUGCGAAGGCAGAUCACUAACAAUAUACUGACGCUCAUGGACGAAAGCGUGGGGAGCGAACAGGAUUAGAUA